rnacentral:pre_miRNA from 2 species
UUUUAUGGAUAAGCAAAAAAAGUAGUUUCUUGAGAUAGAGACUACUCCUGGUGGAAAUGCUAUGAA